rnacentral:lncRNA from 1 species
AAUUGUGACUGAUACAGGGCAAUUUGUUUAUAUAUGAUUGUGAAUGUGCAAUUGUGCACAUUGUGAGUGGUACUGGGCAGAUUUUUUAUAUAUGAUUGUGAAUGUGCAAUUGUGAAUUUGUGGCUGGUAUUGGACAGUUUGUUUAUAUAUGAUUAUGAAUUUGUUUAUAUAUGACUGUGAAUUUGUUUAUAUAUGUGACUGUGCAAUUGUGCACAUUGUGAGUAGUACUGGGCCAUUUUUUAUAUAUGAUUGUGAAUGUGCAAUUAUGAAUUUGUGACUUAUACUGGGCAGUUUGUUUAUAUAUGAUUAUGAAUUUGUUUAUAUAUGACUGUGAAUUUGUUUAUAUAUGUGACUGUGCAAGUGUGCACAUUGUGACUGGUUCUAGGCAAUUUGUUUAUAUAUGAUUGUGAAUGUGCAAUUGUGCACAUUGUGAGUGGUACUGGGCAGAUUGUGUAUAUAUGAUUGUGAACUUGUUUAUAUAUGACUGUGAAUUUAUUUAUAUAUAUGACUGGUACUGGGCAGUUUGUUUAUAUAUGACUCUGAAUUUGUUUAUAUAUGAUUGUGAAUUUGCGACUGGUACUAGGCAGUUUGUUUAUAUAUGAUUGUGAAUGUUUUAUGUUGAAUUGGAUGUUGUGGAGUUGCUUGGAGAGCCAUGACAGUUUUUUAU